rnacentral:rRNA from 1 species
GACGAACGCUGGCGGCGUGCUUAACACAUGCAAGUCGAGCGAUGAAGUUCCUUCGGGAAUGAAUUAGCGGCGGACGGGUGAGUAACACGUGGGUAACCUGCCUCAUAGAGGGGAAUAGCUUCCAGAAAGGAAGAUUAAUACCGCAUAAGAUUGUAGUACCGCAUGGUACAGCACACAACGGAGCAAUCAGCUAUGAGAUGGACCCGCGUCGCAUUAGCUAGUUGGUGAGGUAACGGCUCACCAAGGCGACGAUGCGUAGCCGACCUGAGAGGCUUCUUUCGCACAUGUUGAUUUAGACACGUCCCAGUCUCCUACGGGAGGACGCAGUUGGGUCUUUUGCACACGGUUGUAAACCCUCAUGGAGCAACGCCGCGUGAGUGAUGAACUUCUUCAGAUUGGUCUUCUUUGUCUUCAGGGACCAUAAUGACCUUCUCUGAGGAGCAAUUCACGGCUAACUUCGGGCCAGCCGCCGCCGUAA